AGAGUUUGAUCCUGGCUCAGAACGAACGCUGGCGGCAUGGAUUAGGCAUGCAAGUCGAACGAGGAAGCAGGGCUUGCCCUGUGGAAAAGUGGCGAAAGGGUGAGUAACGCGUGAGUAAUCUGCCCUGAGGCUCGGAAUAACCCCGCGAAAGCGGAGCUAAUACCGGAUAUGAAAUCAAUUUCGCAUGUUUUUGAUUUUAAAGAUUUAUCACCUCAGGAUGAGCUCGCGUCCCAUUAGCUUGUUGGUAAGGUAACGGCUUACCAAGGCAAUGAUGGGUAGCUGGUCUGAGAGGAUGACCAGCCACACUGAGACUGAGACACUGCCCAGACUCCUACGGGAGGCUGCAGUCGAGAAUCUUCCGCAAUGAGCGAAAGCUUGACGGAGCAAUGCCGCGUGCAUGAUGAAGGCCUUCGGGUUGUAAAAUGCUGUCACCCGGGACGAAGAUCUGACGGUACCGGGAGAGGAAGCCACGGCUAACUACGUGCCAGCAGCCGCGGUAAUACGUAGGUGGCGAGCGUUGUUCGGAUUUAUUGGGCGUAAAGGGUCCGCAGGGGGUUUGUUAAGUCUGAUGUGAAAUCUUACGGCUCAACCGUGAAAUUGCAUNGGAAACUGGCAGACAGAGU
rnacentral:rRNA from 1 species